rnacentral:rRNA from 1 species
AACGAACGCUGGCGGCGCGCCUAAUACAUGCAAGUCGAGCGAGAAGACGUAGCAAUACGUUUGUAAAGCGGCGAACGGGUGAGGAAUACAUGGGUAACCUACCCUCGAGUGGGGAAUAACUAGCCGAAAGGUUAGCUAAUACCGCGUACGCUCCUUGGACUUCGGUUCAUGGAGGAAAGCGAUACCGUGGGUAUCGCGCUCUUGGAUGGGCUCAUGUCCUAUCAGCUUGNGGUGAGGUAACGGCUCACCAAGGCUUCAACGGGUAGCUGGUCUGAGAGGACGAUCAGCCACACUGGCACUGCGACACGGGCCAGACUCCUACGGGAGGCAGCAGUAAGGAAUAUUGCGCAAUGGGCGAAAGCCUGACGCAGCGACGCCGCGUGGGGGAGU